rnacentral:lncRNA from 1 species
AGCUCCUCAAGCUGGCUGUAAUAUGGCAAUUAUCCAAUCCAAUUAGGACUGUUGGCUCUGAAUCAGUGUAAUCAACUAUUGGAAGAUGUUUACACCUCGAGUGUAGUUCAGCAAAUGUGACUGUUUGCAUUGGCAAAUCAAGGCACAGUAUACCAGUAGAAAAGGUUUUUGUUUUUGUAGCUGUUUCGUGGUGAAAGUCCUUUAUGGGGACCAAAUUUCCCCACAAGAAAUUGAGCACAUGGUUGCUUUUGCGGCCCAAAAGAAUGAAUAUUAGAAAACAUUUAAAAAAAGUCUAAGUUUGCUCUGAGCGCUUGUGUUGUUUACCAAGAAAAUGCAGCCCUGUUGGUUUUUAUUUCUGUAUCGCAUCGCGGUGAGUUUCCAUUUCUUGGUAAUUCGGUUUGUGAAAUGACUAUUAAUUACAAGCACAGCAUCAUCAACGGUGAUUGCAAGAACUACUGCAAUCCCUGCGGUUUUUCCUCUUGGUAAAUGCGUUCUGGUCGUGACCAAGGGUGGUCUCCCAAAUCGGCUGGGAAUAAGGCUAUUGUUGCAGAACAUAACGCCGCAACCACUGCUGUGGUAAAUAUGUUCCAGCAGAGCUGCCCACCGCCGUCGGUGUAAUGAUUUCGAUAGCUGAACAAACGCCAUCUCCUGGGCAUUCCCACAGCUUGCCGACACUAGCUAUUAUAUGACGUGUGAAUGCAACUGCAGCUUAAUUUGGUUAUUAACAGUACAAUAGUACCAUGUCAUUGGCAAAAACACUAAGGGCUGCUGGCAAAUAUAGGUUGUAAAGUUUUUGGUAUCGAUGAACUUACUCAAAGAAGACGAUGGCCGAAAACAUAUGAUGAAACAUCUUCUGGCAUGCCUUUGACAAUCGUUAAGUCAGACGGAGGCUUCACAUACGAUAUUUCACACAUGGCUGGAAUUCGUUAGCGGACAGAACCCACAUUUAAAAAAUAUUUAUCGUUCAGCAGAACGUGCAUGCAUAUCAUAUUCGAUUCCGAUUUUAUGGGUCGAUUACGGAGGACAACCGAACUUCAGUUGGUUGGCCAGUGGCUGAAAUGGUAUUACCGAUGGCAACUAGCAACUGAAAGCUGGCAACUAAGUUGCUAUAUUGGCAAUGGCGCUGUCCAUCGGCAACCCAACUGAGGUUCCGUUCCCAUCCAUAAUCGAUCCAUAAGUCAUAAUCGCACGAACUAAUCAAGGCUAUCAUAGAAUCCAUCGUAGUCCGAUUUUUCGUGAAAUCUACGAAAAUGCUAUUAAGGUCGAAUAGCUACGAACGCAGCGCUUGCUUUGAAUACACACGUUCAUAGCAGUUCAGAUUCAGUGAUCGCUUUUUCGUAGAUUUUAAGAAAAAUUGGACUACGAUGGAUUCCGCCACCAAUAUGUUUUCUCCUUUGACAAGAUGUUUGAGAAUCGCGGCAGCACAGCCGUAUACCUACUCUUUGCUCUUACGCGCAUAUGCUAAAUUUCUCGCACCUAGCUAAAGUGCUUGACAAAGGCAGAAGGCAUAUCUUCAACAUUAUAACUUAGUAAAAAAUUUUAAGGCAUGCAAUAAAAGAAUCAACAGAACCAAAAAAUGUCCUCAAAACUAUUAAACAUAAAA